CUGCCUAGGAGACCCAGCCCGGACGGGCGUUGUAGCACAGCUUUAUGGGAAAUGAAUUUAUGGGGCGACCCCCGAGCGUUCCGUACUUGUGGAGCGCUGGCAGUGGAAGGCGCUGUACAGCUCUAACGGGGGCCGUAGAGCGCGGAUGCGUAAAUAUCUAAUUGCGGGAGUAGAUAGUGGUUAGUGCCCGAGAAGACUGGAAUUGUGAUUUCUUCCACGUCUCCAGGUGGAACAGAUUGGACUACUGCCCACAUCCAUCUGUAAGAAAGGCCCAGGUCUCUGACCCUACGGAUACUGAAGGUGGUUCGCUUGAAAGCACGUGAGUGAAAUUGCCAGAGUGACCUACAACCAGAUGCUCCUACACCUCUACAGUCGCCUCCCCACGGAACCUACACCCAAGCCACUCCCUCCCCGUGACACCCCUAAACAAGCAGGAAGUAGCUAGACGAAAUUUGCUGCCCUGUAUCACCAAAAAGGCUGGAAUGUUAGGUUGGUGGUGGCAACUUAAUGGCAACUUAGAAAAGCAGCCCACGAGGGAAAGGAACAUCAAUCAGGUGCUGACAGAAAUGCCUGUCAAUCAGCGAGAUCUUCUGAACCAUGCCUCUCAAUCAGCAGGACCCCCUGGCCAAUCCUGGAGUUCAGCCAACUCCCCUGACCAACUCCAAGGGGACAAGGGACCCUCAAAACACCUUUUCCUGUCCCAAGCCCUUCCCUUCCUGUUGUAAGCCCCAUAAAAGUCCAGUCAGUUGAGCUUCCACGAGGUUUCUCCUCAGACCCUUCCCCUGUCCACUCUGUGGAUCUGAUCAAGUUCUGCUCAGGAGUGAUAUCUCAAUAAAGUCUCGUUUGGCGGCCCUUUUAAA